rnacentral:tRNA from 1 species
AGUAUAGCUCAGUGGUAGAGGGCCUGCCUAGCAUGCACAAGGUCCUGGGUUCAAUCCCCAGUAACUCUA